rnacentral:lncRNA from 1 species
CCACGCUGUCUUCGUGGAAAUAAACACCUCCCUGCCACAGGUGCUAAUGAGGCUUCAUCUCUUUGGCUCAGGGAGCUGCCUCAGGAGCCCUGGCAAACCCCUCGGCCUGCCUGCAGCCAAGGAAGGAGCAGCCACAGCUUAGCGCUGCUGGAAAGUAAUGAGGAGUGAGGUCAACCUGCCCAGCCCACGGGACAAGUUCCCACAGCCUUGCAGAGGAGGCAUCAGAACAGCACAAGCAAAUGUGUUUACAGCUUCACGCUUAAAUUUGAAACGUGUUUCUAACCUGACAUCUGUGUAUUUUCAGCCCUUUCCAAAGCUCUUGUUUUACUUUCUAUGGCUUCUGCUUCAUUAUUCUAAUUUAAUAAAGCCGCAGUGAAGGCAGAGUGCCGACUCUUUGUGGCUAAUGAAAG